AUUGAACGCUGGCGGCAGGCCUAACACAUGCAAGUCGAACGAGUGGCGGACUGGUGAGUAAUGUCUGGGAAACUGCCUGAUGGAGGGGGAUAACUACUGGAAACGGUAGCUAAUACCGCAUACCAUCAGAUGUGCCCAGAUGGGAUUAGCGAGUUGGUGGGGUAACGGCGCACCAAGGCGACGAUCCCUAGCUGGUCUGAUAGGAUGACCAUCCAAACUGGAACUGGUCCACGGUCCGGACUCCUGCGGGAGGCAGCAGUGGGGAAUAUUGCGCAAUGGGCGCAAGCCUGAUGCAGCCAUGCUGCGUGUAUGAAGAAGGCCUUCGGGUUGUAAAGUACUUUCAGCUGGGAGGCGUUACCCGCAGAAGAAGCACCGGCUAACUCCGUGCCAGCAGCCGCGGUAAUUC
rnacentral:rRNA from 1 species